CAACCAUGAAAAAACUUGCCCUCAGAAGACUCCAGAGCUACCGGAACAUAAUGUACGCGGUAUCGGCAGUCAGCCGAUUGAAAACUUUGGCUGGAAUGGUGGCUCGACUUAUGCCAGAAGACUGCUGCGGGAAUCAGCCGUUUCAUGCCUUGAUUAUGCAUCUCCACACACCGGCAUAAAGAGUUUUUGCAGAAUAUUCUUAAACAUACUCAAAGGAGCUGGUGCUCGGAAGUUUUCUCUAUCUGGAAAGCGAAAUAGGUUGCUUCGAAAAAAGUGUCUGAUCAAGGUCAUAAUCGGAUUGAACUUGUUCCCAGGAGUGCUGAUUCUUCGUUGUGGCUGAGUUG